UACGUAGGUGGCAAGCGUUGUCCGGAAUUAUUGGGCGUAAAGCGCGCGCAGGCGGCCUUUUAAGUCUGAUGUGAAAGCCCACGGCUCAACCGUGGAAGGUCAUUGGAAACUGAAAGGCUUGAGUACAGAAGAGGAAGGCGGAAUUCCACGUGUAGCGGUGAAAUGCGUAGAGAUGCGGAGGAACACCAGUGGCGAAGGCGGCUUUCUGGUCUGUAACUGACGCUGAGGCGCGAAAGCGUGGGGAGCAAACAGG
rnacentral:rRNA from 1 species